CAGGGAGACAACAAAAUGUUUAAUAUUAUUAUUUUGUCACCUUAGGUCGAUCGGUAUCUCACAUUCUUAAUUUAUUAAGAAUUUCAUUUCCUAAGUUUUUCUAGGUCACACCCAUUAUUUUCCUGGGCCAUUAGCUCAGGUGGUUAGAGCGCACCCCUGAUAAGGGUGAGGUCCCUGGUUCAAGUCCAGGAUGGCCCAUAUCUCUAUGUUGGGGGUAUAGCUCAGUUGGUAGAGCGCCUGCUUUGCAAGCAGGAUGUCAGCGGUUCGAGUCCGCUUACCUCCACUGAUUACCACCUCUUCCAUAAUCUGUAGAAAGGAAAAUUUUUUGAGUUGUGAUCAUUAUUCUGAACGAAUCUAGCUUCCUAAUGAAACCAUUAAGAUGCUGGACUCAUUGAAUUAAUUUCAUUGUUUUCAGAGAACCUUGACAACUGCAUAGAUUAUUUUUAAAGACAAUAAGCAUCUUUAAUGAUGCAGAUUUAUUAUUUGUGCAAAUGCAUUAAUAACAAUUCUAUUAAGCUGAUGCUUCAAUUAUGAAGUUAUU
rnacentral:tRNA from 1 species